CUUAGCAGAGUGAGGAAAUAUGGAAAGAGAUGGAGGAGGAGAGAGACUCACUGAAGGAGCAACUCAAAGAGGCGCUCGGUAGGCUGGAGGGCUUUGAAAGCAACAGCACAUCUUACACAUCAGAAAAACAGCAGGAACCGGAUCAAAAAAUAACAUCCCUCCAGUAUAAUAAAGCUCUCAUAAUUACCAUCACUGUAUACCCAUCAUCCAAAAUCUAUGGUGUAUAUUAUUAUGGGCAUCUCUAAUCUCAUCCCAACAGGAAGUGUUCAGUCAGAGUGAGAUCAUCAGUGCUCUAAGUCAUGACCUGGCCCAGGCUCAUGCUCGGCUCUCUGAUAUGACAAGUGCCGAACAAUCAGCACAAUUCAAGAGUCCUGCUCACUUCUACGUGUGGUAGUGUUUGUGUUUCUGAGUGUGUGUCUCUCUGUGUAGGAGAACAUUUUUGAAAUAUAUAACAAGAAAAACCUUUUUGUUAGACAAACUGAAGAGGACCUGAAAAGUAAAGCAACAGCAAACAGAGAGAUGGAGAACACAAGUCUUCUUCCACUUCAAACCUCAAGAAACACUAAAGAUGUGGCACUCAUGACAGCUCUAAAUGAUGUCAUCAAUCAGGGGUCAAAACACAAAGGUCAUCACUGCGAGGAAGCGAUUCUUCAACAGCAGGAAGGUUUGCGUGACAUGAAAGAGCGAAUCAGAGCUCUAGAACAGAAGUGGCCUAGCAAGCAUAUGUCCCAGCAGGGGGAGCCAGAGAAACAGGGUCAGAUGAAGACUACGAGACUUCAGAGAUCUGCAGCUUGGAGAGGAUCCAACAGUUCUGUGAGUGGUUUUGCGUUCCCUGAUGCUCUGACCGAGGCAGCAGGAGAGCGUACAGCCAGACUGGACAUGUCUGAUGCUCUGGAGCUCAGUGAGAGAACAUACCUGGAGCUAGUGCGUGUGCUGCAUGAGGCCCUGGAGCUCAGCAACGUUGAGCUGUCAGGAUGUGCUAGUUUAAAGCACCUACCUCCUGAUGAGAGACAGCACAUAGUCUCUAUGAGACAAACAGACCUGGAGUUUGUGAGAACCCGCCUUGAUCUACAGAACAGACAAAGCCAACAGCAAGAGCUACUGCUGCAGGAAAACCAGAGAGAGAUACACACACACUCAGAGAGAGCCAGGUGCUGGAGUACCAGAUGCAGUCUGAGCUUGAGAGUGUGA
ensembl:lncRNA